rnacentral:misc_RNA from 1 species
AAUAAUAAUAAUAAUAAUAAUGAACUGCACACGUCAUAAGACACUGAGAAGAGAGAUGUGAGAGCAAGUGAGCAACAAUCAUACAAAGUACAAACAAAUGCUUUAUUUGAUAUAUUUACAGCUUUGCCACUGAAAUGGAUUUUAACCCCUUUUUUUCGAAAAAAGUAAAUUUUAAACGACAAUUUUAGCCUUUGUAACUGUCAUAUAAUUAUAUUUUUAAAUAUUUUGGGAAAUAAAAAAUUUGCUAUAAAUAACAACCACAAUCCCAUUUUCUAACCACACCAAAAAGUUUUUGAAUUUCUUCAAUUUUCCCAUAGUCUCAAGUCUCAAGCUCUCAAUUAUCUUCUUGCAUUUUUCAAAAUAUUUUCAGUUCUCAUUGUUUUUAUAUUCUCUAAAUACCUAAAUUAUUUAUAUUUUCAGUCAAUAUUUCAUCCACUUUUCAAUUUUUCACAACGAACUUGUGCGUGCGUGUGUGUGUGUGU